rnacentral:lncRNA from 1 species
UACAUUUAUGACUCUCUUAUUUUGCAUUUUAAACCAGUGCAGCUGUCCACCUGCUGAAGAAGUCCAAGAACUUGAAAGAGACUUGUAAAAGCUAAUGGAGAAUGUUGGUCAGCAAUUCGACUGAUUUGCUGGKAGGUGCUGGCGAAGCAGGAUAAUGGACCUUCAUAAAUCUUUGCUGGAGAAAGACUACCCUUCUGCCUUGUCAUAAUGUGGUGAUACAUGCGUACAAAGCUGCUGUUUGUUCUUCUCUUUGAAAGAGCUGAAGAUUUAUCUUGAGGAAUCCUUGAUUGACUGGGAAAACUUCCAAAAUGUUUUGCAAGAGCAACUCGAGAUUUGGUAUAAUGCAUCAAAGGGAAUGAAGGGCAGCUAUGGAUCCCCAUCCCUUUCGGUAACUGAGUACAAUACCACCACUACAGAAGAACACGUUGACUACUUCUGA